rnacentral:rRNA from 1 species
AUUGAACGCUGGCGGCAGGCCUAACACAUGCAAGUCGGACGGUAGCACAGAGGAGCUUGCUCCUCGGGUGACGAGUGGCGGACGGGUGAGUAAUGUCUGGGGAUCUGCCCGAUAGAGGGGGAUAACCACUGGAAACGGUGGCUAAUACCGCAUAACGUCGCAAGACCAAAGAGGGGGACCUUCGGGCCUCUCACUAUCAGAUGAACCCAGAUGGGAUUAGCUAGUAGGCGGGGUAAUGGCCCACCUAGGCGACGAUCCCUAGCUGGUCUGAGAGGAUGACCAGACACACUGGAACUGAGACACGGUCCAGACUCCUACGGGAGGCAGCAGUGGGGAAUAUUGCACAAUGGGCGCAAGCCUGAUGCAGCCAUGCCGCGUGUAUGAAGAAGGCCUUCGGGUUGUAAAGUACUUUCAGCGGGGAGGAAGGCGAUAAGGUUAAUAACCUUGUCGAUUGACGUUACCCGCAGAAGAAGCACCGGCUAACUCCGUGCCAGCAGCCGCCGCAG